GGGCCAUUGCCGCCGGCUACCAUGCAAGUCGAACGGUGAAGCUCAGCUUGCUGGGUGGAUCAGUGGCGAACGGGUGAGUAACACGUGAGCAACCUGCCCUCCACUUCGGGAUAAGCCUUGGAAACGGGGUCUAAUACCGGAUAUGAGCACUCAUCGCAUGGUGGGUGUUGGAAAGUUUUUCGGUGGGGGAUGGGCUCGCGGCCUAUCAGCUUGUUGGUGGGGUGAUGGCCUACCAAGGCGUCGACGGGUAGCCGGCCUGAGAGGGCGACCGGCCACACUGGGACUGAGACACGGCCCAGACUCCUACGGGAGGCAGCAGUGGGGAAUAUUGCACAAUGGGCGAAAGCCUGAUGCAGCGACGCCGCGUGAGGGAUGACGGCCUUCGGGUUGUAAACCUCUUUCAGCAGGGAAGAAGGCCUUCGGGUGGACGGUACCUGCAGAAGAAGCGCCGGCUAACUACGUGCCAGCAGCCGCGGUAAUACGUAGGGCGCAAGCGUUGUCCGGAAUUAUUGGGCGUAAAGAGCUCGUAGGCGGUCUGUCGCGUCUGGUGUGAAAUCCCAUGGCUCAACUGUGGGCGUGCAUCGGGUACGGGCAGACUAGAGUGCGGUAGGGGAGACUGGAAUUCCUGGUGUAGCGGUGGAAUGCGCAGAUAUCAGGAGGAACACCGAUGGCGAAGGCAGGUCUCUGGGCCGCAACUGACGCUGAGGAGCGAAAGCAUGGGGAGCGAACAGGAUUAGAUACCCUGGUAGUCCAUGCCGUAAACGUUGGGCACUAGGUGUGGGGCUCAUUCCACGAGUUCCGUGCCGCAGCUAACGCAUUAAGUGCCCCGCCUGGGGAGUACGGCCGCAAGGCUAAAACUCAAAGGAAUUGACGGGGGCCCGCACAAGCGGCGGAGCAUGCGGAUUAAUUCGAUGCAACGCGAAGAACCUUACCAAGGCUUGACAUACACCGGGAAACAUCCAGGAGAUGGGUAGCCCCGUAAAGGUCGGGUGUACAGGUG
rnacentral:rRNA from 1 species